rnacentral:lncRNA from 1 species
UUUCAGUUCCUGUUUUAAAGCCUCCUCCAACAACAAACGUUUUUAGUACUGCAGCCGGAGAGGACGUAAUUGUAGAAAU